ACGGCGAUAAGGCGUGGCUUCUAUGUCAGAUGUGCAUCAGUACGUGGCAGAGAGGGCAAGCCUCUGUCUACACUCAGUGUUCUGACCUGGGAACAUCUGGAUGAUAAGUAGCCUAACACU
rnacentral:snoRNA from 1 species